rnacentral:rRNA from 1 species
CGUACACACCGCCCGUCACACCACGAAAGUCGGUAACACCCGAAGCCAGUGGCCAACUCGCAAGAGAGGGAGCUGUCGAAGGUGGGAUCGGCGAUUGGGGUG